rnacentral:rRNA from 1 species
UGGGGAAUAUUGCACAAUGGAGGGAACUCUGAUGCAGCGACGCCGCGUGAGUGAUGAAGGAAUUCGUUUCGUAAAACUCUUUUCUAUGGGAAGAAAAGGACUGUACCAUAGGAGAAAGCUCCGGCUAAAUACGUGCCAGCAGCCGCGGUAAUACGUAUGGAGCGAGCGUUGUCCGGAAUUAUUGGGCGUAAAGGGUGCGCAGGCGGCUGUACAAGUUGGAUGUGAAAUAUUGUGGCUCAACCACAAACGUGCAUCCAAAACUGCAAAGCUUGAGUUAAGGAGAGGUGAGUGGAAUUCCUGGUGUAGCGGUUGAAUGCGUAGAUAUCAGGAGGAAUACCGGUGGCGAAGGCGACUUACUGGACUUAAACUGACGCUCAGGCACGAAAGCGUGGGGAGCAAACAGG